rnacentral:rRNA from 1 species
ACAUGCAAGUCGAACGGUAACAGGUCUUCGGAUGCUGACGAGUGGCGAACGGGUGAGUAAUACAUCGGAACGUGCCCGAUCGUGGGGGAUAACGAAGCGAAAGCUUUGCUAAUACCGCAUACGAUCUACGGAUGAAAGCAGGGGACCGCAAGGCCUUGCGCGAACGGAGCGGCCGAUGGCAGAUUAGGUAGUUGGUGGGAUAAAAGCUUACCAAGCCGACGAUCUGUAGCUGGUCUGAGAGGACGACCAGCCACACUGGGACUGAGACACGSCCAGACUCCUACGGGAGGCAGCAGUKGGGAAUUUUGGACAAUGGGCGAAAGCCUGAUCCAGCCAUGCCGCGUGCAGGAUGAAGGCCUUCGGGUUGUAAACUGCUUUUGUACGGAACGAAAAGACUCUGGUUAAUACCUGGGGUCCAUGACGGUACCGUAAGAAUAAGCACCGGCUAACUACGUGCCARCAGCCGCGGUAAUACGUAGGGUGCAAGCGUUAAUCGGGAAUUACUGGGCGUAAAGCGUGCCCAGGCGGUUAUAUAAGACAGAUGUGAAAUCCCCGGGCUCAACCUHGGGAACUGCAUUUGUGACUBUAUAGCUAGAGUACGGCAGAGGGGGRUGGAAUUCC